UUGCGACUCAUCCUCACACAAUUUUUUAAAUUUCAGAACACAUGUCCGCAUUCACACAGGCGACCGGCCUUACGUCUGUCCGUUCGACGGAUGCAACAAGAAAUUCGCCCAAUCCACAAAUCUCAAGAGUCACAUAUUAACACACGCAAAGGCCAAAUCCAGAAACUCGAUGGGCCGUUCCAACAGCAACACAAUGCAAAUGCUUCAGCCGCAGUUCGUGCAGGUCGAGGUCGCGGACGUCGAUCAACCCUACAUCGUGUACGCCGAUUAAUUUUAUUCAGAUCAGUGACGACAGUGCUGUUAAACGAAGAGACUGUAUUGCAAUUCUGGAGAACUGAAAUAGUCAACCAAAUACAUAAUCGUUCGCGAUCGGAGAGUUCCCACACAAAAAAAAAAGGGGGGGGGGGGAACUUUGUUCAUUUUUAUAUGUCGCGGAACUGUUUUUAAACAUAUUUAUUGGACGUAGUGAUUUUUUUUUUAAAUUGUAUUUAGGGUUAAGUACAAAACUCAUUUUUUUAAGGAUUUCCAAGUGAAAAAUGUGAUUUUUUUUUGUUUUUAGUUGGUACCUUUGUAAUCCGUUUUAUUUUUUUUUGUUAAAGAAAGAAAGAUAGAACUAAAUUGAUAGUAUUAUUGAUAAUAAAAUUAGUUCUUUCGUCUUUUGCCAUCGUGAUAACUGAUAACUAAGCACUUAUUGUAAAAACAUGAACCACAUUUUCCUAAUGUACAUAAAAUAAAUAAUUUUUCAGUAUAAAA